AUAGCUGGCAGACGACACCAGUGGCUUAAGCAAACAUUCCGUCUAUGCUAACAAUUCAAACGUGACUAUCAAUACAUUUGAUUUGUCACCACAAAGUCCUUAAAUCAUGAUUCAUGAAUCCAGAUCUGACUUGAAACGGCCCACUGAUGCCUCAACACCAAGUUGCACUGAACGAGGAUUGUGUUCAUACAGAAAAUGUCAGCACACUGUUCCAUUUAUCCUUCUUUAAUUGGUUAACAACCCACAUAUUGCGUCACGCUUUUAUGUAGCUCUCACUAUUCCAUGUUAGACACUGUGGAAAACCACAAUCAAGAAACUCCCUUUGCCCGACAAUAUAUAUAUAUUUAUUUAUUUAUUUAUUUAAGGCUUAAAUAAAUAUGUAAAUCACAUCACAAAGACAAAAUUAAAAACUACCUGUGCAGGAACUGCAUGUUGGACACUUUUCCGUUCUCAGCAUCCGAGCUUCUCUCGCGUUGCUUCUAUAAGCAGAAGCGUUAACCAAACAUGUUAAUUAUUGACUUUUCAGGAACACCUCCCACUCAAGCUAUUAAAAAAUCAGCUAUUUUUCUAAAGGUGAUAUUAUCGUACCGCCUCAGUCUUGAGUUCCUCUCGCACCGCUUGGAUGGUGUCGCGGCACUCGGCCAGCAGGGUCUCAUACAGAUGCUCUUUGGUCUCCUCGUUGGCUGCCUUCUCGAGGGGAAACAAGAAGAUCAGAUUCAUCAAAUCUAAUCAUGUGGAUGUGCGUUAAGAUCUGCAUUUCUGGAAUGCGCACCAUGUUCAUACCGAACAUAGAAUGUAAUGAUUACCACUUGCCACCUUGGCGUAUUUGCUUUUCCCUCAUAUUUAAAUGCGUCAUAUGUGGUCGAGCAGAUGGAAUGAGUACAAAUAUCUUCACAAAUGUUGAGCUGGAGCGCUGGUGUGUUGCGCAACACCAGAAUUUCACGUUUGCAUUCACGUUCGGCAUGAUUAAAGUCACAAUUUUAGUACUCAAUCACACAACCGCAUCAAGGCGUCUUAAACUUAAGUAGUUUAAGUGGGACACUCCAAGCAAGAAUGUAUGUUCAGUGAUGAAGGUGAAGACGACAGAGGCGGAGGAGAAGAUAUGUGGCCCAGCGGGCUCCUGAUGGAUUCCACUAUUAUCAAUGACACAUUGUUCUUCACCUUACAACCACAAACACUCGCACGUACCCUUAUAUUACACAUCUACACACAUUGCACAACUAUGAAACAAAAAAGCAACACGUGAUGGUCAGCAUGGUGUAUGCUUCAGUUUGAUGUGCUUUCUAAAAAAAACACAUUUACUUCUGAAAGCAGUCAAAUUAACAUCAAUCUUUGCAAUUAUCACCACGUCGAGGCAGGGGUGAUGGUAUUUAAAGUGCCGCACUUACGUACCAACACCUUGCUACGCCCAGCAAAACCGGCUUUACCUGUUCUACAUUCCCUGCGGUUGAGAAGGUGCAUGCGUGCUGCACUGCAGGCUGACAUAUAUAAUGUGGCUCUUCGCUACACAGAGCACGUACGGGCGGACGAUGAUUGUGUGUAAAAGACAAAACAUGAAUUGAUUUGACUCUUGCAUCGACACCUAGCGCACUAUGUUGGGUGGGGUCUUAAGUAUUUAAAGGAAGCAGCAAUUCUAUUAGGCACACGCAAACUGGGUGUUGUCCUGCAUUUAUGUGUGUGCCGAUAUGCUCAGAAUGUAGUUGUACCAAGAGCAGGGCUGAAUGCCAGAGGGCGUGAUGGGAGCGCCAACAGGAAGUGCUUGUGACAAAACCCGCAGGAAUGGAUUGGAGGUGGCUGCGAUCGACCAAGGGCGGACAAUGACACCCUUUGAAUGUUUGGUAAACUACACCGACACUUUCGCAAAGCCCUCUAAGGCAAGUUGCACAGUGAAAGGCGGUCUCCUCCAUAAAAUCAUGUAGCGGUACUGACCUGAGCAAUGGCAGCCUCGUUGUCUGCCAAACCCAACAGGAAGAUGCGGACCUUGUCGAUCUUGACGGGCACGCUCCUCCCGCGCCACUCCACCUCGCUCAUGGUGGCCGCCUGCUUGGUUCUCGCCUGAGUGAUCAGGGUCUGGAAGAAUAAAGACCUUUGGUCAAUUUGGAA